CCACAUUGUCACAAAAGGUAGAAUCCACAAAAUAACAAUUUACACUGGAAGCACUGCAAACCGAUUCCCAGGUAGGUCUUUACUCAGUUUAAUAUUUCAAGAUAAAUACAAGGAAAAAAGCAACUGAACUGCAUUUUUCUAUUUUUAUUUUUUUUUCAGUCUGAUGACAAAGGCCUCAAGUGAAAAUCUGUAGCGUUAACAACUCUAACCCUCAUUUGUGCCAUCUAUGCCCACUAUGUAAAUCAUACAACACACAGAGUGCCUGUCUAAACUUUAGGCAGGCUUUGACACCAGUUUAUAAGGUUACAAUAUGCAAGACAACAUGUUGGCUUAGGAGAGUACAGAGGUAAUACAAUUUUGUUUGCACAUGGCCAUCAGGACUUUUAAAUUUGUUUUAUAAUGAUGGGACAGGGAAGUUGCAAACAAACUGGCAUUUCCAAAUCACUUAAGUUACUCAGUCCAAGCUGUGAACUCCAGACAUAACAUGCAUAAGGCUUAAAACUUUAUUUUUUCGUUUUAGAGUUCUAGGUCUCAUUUUGUUCUAAGAUAUACUAAGGGGUACUUUAAAAAUCACACUGCCCAGUCAACUGUCCUUUUAUCCUAGGUGUAUGUAAGCAAUAUUUUUCAUCAACACUUGAUUUAAACUUUGCAUCUGGAGCAGAUUUGAUGCAACAAAACUAAUGCUGUCAGUUCAGCUGGACAUUCAAAAUAAACACCUGCAAGGACAUCAACACCUAAAGCAUUCAAGCUGAAUUUGACUGCAGUGAUUUGGAAAAUAGUCAGUUAACCUGCAUAGCCCAUUUCCGCUUCGAGCAAACACAUGAAAACAAUUGGAAAAAAAAUAAUGAGGUUUUGAAAAGGCCAUAUGCUUUGGUGACAAUCAGAACCAAAUUUAAGAUCUGUUUAUCUUGACCUGAGCACUUUGCUCGAGCCUGGGAAUAUGUUUAUUUGGUCAUGGCCUUGAUGGCAACGGCACACUCCUCAUUCAUAGCACACAAGACGGAGAUCAUAAUCUCUUCUCCGCCUUCAAAUCUAGUC